CACGGAAUUAGCCGGUCCUUAUUCAUGAGGUACAUGCAAUGGCGCACACGUGCGCCAAUUUAUUCCCACAUAAAAGCAGUUUACAACCCAUAGGGCCGUCAUCCUGCACGCUACUUGGCUGGUUCAGACUUGCGUCCAUUGACCAAUAUUCCUCACUGCUGCCUCCCGUAGGAGUUUGGACCGUGUCUCAGUUCCAAUGUGGGGGACCUUCCUCUCAGAACCCCUACUGAUCGUCGCCUUGGUGGGCCGUUGCCCCGCCAACAAGCUAAUCAGACGCAUCCCCAUCCCUUACCGGAAAACCUUUGUUUCAUAUCGGAUGCCGUCAAUGAAACACAUCGGGUAUUAGGCCGUCUUUCAACGGGGUAUCCCCGAAGUAAGGGGCAGGUUGGAUACGCGAUACUCACCCGUGCCGCCGGUCGACGUCCAGAAUGUGCAAGCACAUAAUCGCCGUUCCCCACGACUUGCAUGUGUUACGCUGAGCCAGCGUUCGACUCCUGACGCCAGGAUAACC
rnacentral:rRNA from 1 species